GGCAUAAAAGGUUAUAUAGUUAUUUUCUUGCAAUUUACUACAAUUGAUAACAAUUAACAACAACAUUAUAAAAAGGUUAUAUGAAGAACAUACUGUCAAAUAAAAGGUUUGAAGAUCAUUUAUUUUUUCCCUACAAUUAUAUGAACAUGUUAAUAAGGUUGGUUAAUUGUAGAUAAUUUUUAUAAGGAAUUUGGCAUUAUCAUUAAGUUUGAUUUGUGAGUACUUUUGGUCAUUAGAGUAUCACAAGAUUAUAGUAUUCAUUGGUGGUAUACCCGUGAAUACAAGGUAAUAAUAGUUGUCAGUAGUUUUGGUUAUUAGAGUAUGACAAGAUUAAAGUCUGGUCAUGAUGGUGCAAGGCCUUUAAUGACAACUGCUUUAGAUAGGCAAUAGGUUAAUAUAACAGAGAAUUUCUAGGAGGAGGCAGCAGGGAAAAGUGGAAAUCAUUUGAUGCAAGUGAAGGUAAUUUCAAUAGCUCAACAUAUCAGUUUUGCAAUUCUAGCACACAUGGGAAAGUGAAGUGUUUUAUAUUUGUUAUAGACGAUUAGCUUUUGUUGCAUUUGCCAUAUAGAGUGGCAAGUCCCGCCGCAACAUGUGUAGGUAAAUUGGUACAAUAUACAUAUAUUUGUUUGUUUAGUCUAUAGAAUAUUGUUAGUAGCAGUUAUAGAUAUUGGGCGACUUACAUGAAGAAGAAACAGUCUCCACUUAUUACAGCUUUUCAGUGUCAUAAGCAUCCAGUAGUAAAUGACAUGUGACACAUGUUGCUCAAAAAUGAUUAUUUAGAAGACCUGCAAGAAAACUUUGUGCAGAAAAAGGAACUUGAAUAGUCCAAAACAAUGCGUAUUAUUUUCAACCCCUUUACUAAUAUUUAAGGUUAUAGUUACGUGCUUAUGUCCUAUGAUCUCUUAUAUCGUGUGAAACACCCAUUCGAUAUGUCAUUUCAUUUAAUUACACGAUUGAUAUGGAGAAAAGUCUAAAUGUCCUUGUUUUGUGCAGGAGUGUGUAUUCUUCCAUUGGAACCAGAACUUGAUACUUUACUUUAUAAUUAAUGGAUGCGGAAUUCAUAACUUCACAUUGAGCAGAUUUUGGAUACUUCAUGAUUCUUUAACCCCCUUAAGAAAAAACUCUUUUGAUAUUGUGUAUUUGUGUUGGUGGAUGAAAUCGCACCAUACAGUUAUUAUUUCAUUUAUUUACAUUUUUAUAUAAAAUUAGUAUUCAAUACAGAUUGAUUCUUAUAUGAUUUUUUUAAUUGUCUACGAAACUUUCUUAAA